GUGACGGGUAUUCUCGGGCGGAUAAUACGGCCGCGCUGUUAUUGCUUGAGAAUACGCGUAGCCGAG
rnacentral:pre_miRNA from 1 species